rnacentral:siRNA from 1 species
CAAUGAUUGAUGUUACAGGAUCCC